rnacentral:misc_RNA from 1 species
GAUGAAGAACGUAGCGAAAUGCGAUAAGUAAUGUGAAUUGCAGAAUUCAGUGAAUCAUCGAAUCUUUGAACGCACAUUGCGCCCGCCAGUAUUCUGGCGGGCAUGCCUGUUCGAGCGUCAUUUCAACCAUCAAGCCCCCGGCUUGUGUUGGGGACCUGCGGCUGCCGCAGGCCCUGAAAACCAGUGGCGGGCUCGCUAGUCACUCCGAGCGUAGUAAUACAUCUCGCUCAGGGCGUGCUGCGGGUUCCGGCCGUUAAAAAGCCUUAUUUACCCAAGGUUGACCUCGGAUCAGGUAGGAAGACCCGCUGAACUUAAGCAUAUCAGCGGAGGA